rnacentral:tRNA from 1 species
CCCGUACGGGCGCUGCGCGCCCGUCGCCUCAAACGCCGGCGGGGCUGUGAACAGCCCCGCCGGCGUUUGAGGCGCGGGUCCGGGC